AUCACGUUGCCUAGCAGCGAUGAAUGUCAGCUGGUGGAGCUAUCAUGUGACCGCACUCUCAGAAAGAAAUUCACAGAGGUUUCCCCACUUGCUGCCACAUCAUGGACCCCAGGAACAAGACAAGCUGGGGAGGAGUUUAUCAACUAUCAAGUCAUGCAGGUGUCUCUUCAAAGCCAAGAAGACCUUGACAUAGAGCACUUCUGGGCAGAAUUGGCAAACAGGAAACACAAGGUGACAGGACAAUGCCAGUUUGAAAGGCUUGCUAAAAUUGCCAAGAAAACUAGUCUGUUCAGCAGAGUUGGUAUUCUGAUUUGUUUG
ensembl:lncRNA